GCUAGCGUUGCUCGGAAUCACUGGGCGUAAAGGGUGCGUAGGCGGGUCUUUAAGUCAGGGGUGAAAUCCUGGAGCUCAACUCCAGAACUGCCUUUGAUACUGGCGAUCUCGAGUCCGGGAGAGGUGAGUGGAACUGCGAGUGUAGAGGUGAAAUUCGUAGAUAUUCGCAAGAACACCAGUGGCGAAGGCGGCUCACUGGCCCGGUACUGACGCUGAGGUGCGAAAGCGUGGGGAGCAAACAGG
rnacentral:rRNA from 1 species